CCUACGGGUUGCAGCAGUGGGGAAUAUUGCACAAUGGGGGAAACCCUGAUGCAGCGACGCCGCGUGGAGGGAGAAGGUCUUCGGAUUGUAAACUCCUGUUGUUGAGGAAGAUAAUGACGGUACUCAACAAGGAAGUGACGGCUAACUACGUGCCAGCAGCCGCGGUAGAACGUAGGUCACAAGCGUUGUCCGGAAUUACUGGGUGUAAAGGGAGCGCAGGCGGGAAGACAAGUUGGAAGUGAAAUCCAUGGGCUCAACCCAUGAACUGCUUUCAAAACUGUUUUUCUUGAGUAGUGCAGAGGUAGGCGGGAUUCCCGGUGUAGCGGUGGAAUGCGUAGAUAUCGGGAGAAACACCAGUGGCGAAGGCGGCCUACUGGGCACCAACUGACGCUGAGGCUCGAAAGUGUGGGUAGCAAACAGGAUUAGAUACCCCUGUAGUC
rnacentral:rRNA from 1 species